ensembl:lncRNA
GGAGUCCCGGUUAUACAGCUUCCAGGGAUGGGCUCUGGGCGCCGUGCUGCUGCUUAAGUGGGAAAGGUUAUGACACCUCGGCUGCUGGGUUGAGACUGUCACCUGACUGGUCCCUAGGGAUCCGGGAGCCUUUCAGAGGGCUCCCAAGUACCAGAGAGUCUGGCGUUCCUCAGUUCCAUUCUAGCAGGCUUAGCCCUCAGAGCGCUGAGGAAGCAGAGGGCAGGCGGAGUUUGGGAGGGAGGAGGAGACAGAAGGAAGAUGGGAAAGAAAGGAAAGGCCUCUUCAGAACCCUAGGAGACUACAGCACAAGCGGGCAUGCCUCCCUCUACAAUCUGGCAGCGCGACUAGGAGAAAAGCCAUUACAUCACAGAGCAAUUGUGAACAUCAAAGGAAAAAACGUCAAGAAGAAAAACCCCAACUGGAACUGACAUGGGCAGAGAAGGAAUCUUAUGGGUAUCUCACAGGAGGGGAAGCACUGCACAGCUGAGGGAGAGCAGGAAUUCAGUCCUCCAGGAAGCAAUGUGACCAGAACCAAGUACUCACAACCCUCUUUCUCCCAGCCCAUCGACUUCUUUUUGCUUCCUUGUUUUACUGCCUGUGAUCAGAGAGCUGGCCAUUUAAGUCCUUCAGAUUCUAGAGACUGCUUGCACUGGCUCAUCACCCCCUUAUAUCUUCAAAACCAGCAGGGACCAGGAGUUUAAAGAUGGCUCCUUUCCCCUCUUUUUGCUUCCCCAGGAGCCUAAGGGGAUUCAUCUGUUCUAUUUACUGAGAGUUCCUGUAGACAAUUGCCACUACAGAACCUUUCCAGGAUGCUGACACUGCCUUCACCAAUU